rnacentral:rRNA from 1 species
CCUACGGGAGGCUGCAGUAGGGAAUCUUCCACAAUGGACGAAAGCCUGAUGGAGCAACGCCGCGUGGGUGAAGAAGGUCUUCGGAUCGUAAAACCGUGUUGUUAGAGAAGAAAGUGCGUGAGAGUAACUGUGCCCGUUUCGACGGUAUCUAACCAGAAAGCCACGCCUAACUACGGCCCAGCAGCCGCGGUAAUACGUAGGUGGCAAGCGUUAUCCGGAUGUAUUGGGCGUAAAGGGAACGCAGGCGGUCUGUUAAGUCUGAUGUGACAGCCCUCGGCUUAACUGGAGUAGUGCAUUGGAGACUGGGAGACUUGAGAGCAGUAGAGGAGGGUGGAAUGCAAUGUGUAGCGGUGAAAUGCGUAGAUAUAUGGAAGAACACCAGUGGCGAAAGCGGCUCUCUGGUCUAUAACUGACGCUGAGGUUCGAAAGCGUGGGUAGCAAACAGGAUUAGAUACCCUAGUAGUC